UACGUAGGGGGCUAGCGUUGUCCGGAUUUAUUGGGCGUAAAGAGCGUGUAGGCGGCCAGGUAGGUCUGGUGUGAAAACUCGAGGCUUAACCUCGAGAUGUCAUCGGAAACCAUCUGGCUAGAGUCCGGAAGAGGAGAGUGGAAUUCCUGGUGUAGCGGUGAAAUGCGCAGAUAUCAGGAGGAACACCAAUGGCGAAGGCAGCUCGCUGGGACGUGACUGACGCUGAGACGCGAAAGCGUGGGGAGCAAACAGG
rnacentral:rRNA from 1 species